AUUAAAUUAUUGCAAAUUUUCAAAAGCUACAUUUGAUAAAUGAAUGGCUUGAUGGGCACAAAAAUAUGAAUAAAUUGUAUUUUUCUGUUCGGUAUGGUGGGAUUUGUGGCUCCGGUUGAGUUUGAUCUGUAAAAAACUGGACCAAAAGGUUCAGGACACCUGUCUGUGCUAGAACAUCUAUAAGGAGUUCAAAUCCCUCAGAUUUUCAGAGGGUGAGCUGCAGCAUACAUGUAGAGCAUGCACAUGCGUGACAAACAAAUUCAGAAACCCUGUAGUCACAGUGCAGAUCUUUACUUCAUAAUGUCUGCUGUCUGUGGAGGAGGGGGGGCAGCUGAUGCAUGGAUGAAUCACACUGAUGCUGAGGUAAAAAAAAA